GAUGAACGCUGGCGGCGCGCCUAACACAUGCAAGUCGAACGAUUAAAGCACCUUCGGGUGUGUAUAAAGUGGCGAACGGCUGAGUAACACGUGGGCAACCUGCCUUUUACUUUGGGAUAGCCUCGGGAAACCGAGGAUAAUACCGAAUACUUUGUAUGUAUCGCAUGGUAUAUACAAGAAAGCUUUUGCGGUAAAAGAUGGGCCCGCGGCCUGUUAGCUUGUUGGUGAGGUAACGGCUCACCAAGGCAAUGAUGGGUAGCCGGGUUGAGAGACCGACCGGCCAGAUUGGGACUGAGACACGGCCCAGACUCCUACGGGAGGCAGCAGUGGGGAAUCUUGCGCAAUGGGGGAAACCCUGACGCAGCGACGCCGCGUGCGGGAUGAAGGCCUUCGGGUUGUAAACCGCUUUCAGCAGGGACGAGGCCUUAUGGUGACGGUACCUGCAGAAGAAGCUCCGGCUAAAUACGUGCCAGCAGCCGCGGUGAUACGUAUGGAGCAAGCGUUAUCCGGAUUCAUUGGGCGUAAAGCGCUCGUAGGCGGUCUGUUAGGUCGGCAAGUUAAAUCCGGGGGCUCAACCCCCGUCCGCUUCCGAUACCGGCAGACUUGAGUUUGGUAGGGGAAGGUGGAAUUCCUAGUGUAGCGGUGGAAUGCGCAGAUAUUAGGAAGAACACCGGUGGCGAAGGCGGCCUUCUGGGCCAUAACUGACGCUGAGGAGCGAAAGCUAGGGGAGCGAACAGG
rnacentral:rRNA from 1 species